AUCGCGGUGGCUCGCUACUUUCAGUCGUCGUUGAGUUUCUUUCUGUUAUUCAUUUAAAAAAACUACCAAAACAAAGUGUUAUUCAUAGGGAUAGCUAGAAGUGUAUUGAACUGUAAAAUGUUGAUCAGUAUAUCUAUUAGUAGCUCCCUGUUAAAUUUUGCAAGCAAACCCUAUAGAACGGGCGAAAACCAGAGCCGAAGAGAACGAACACGCACCCAGGUUUGGACGUGUUUGUUCUUGUUUUGGAUUGCGUGUACUUGUUCGGUUUUGUCUGACCAGACCAGCAUCAGUCUGAUCGUGAACGUUAAACGGAUGUGGUGCAGGUGUCAAUUGUAUUCAACAUAUUUUUCAAAAUGGCGCAAGAAAGUUGAGUUUCCAGAUCCCGAGAGUAAUCCAAACGAUGGGGCGUUUAACUAUUGAAAAAGGAUAACAAUCCAAACCUUCCGUCAUUUUUCGACACAUUGGACGACUUCUCUUAGACAUUCGGCAACGGAAAACCAGGAAUCUAGCAAAUCGUUGGUGACAGGUCCAGCGCUUCGCAAUCGACGAUCGACGUAGACGGCAAAGGAAGUAGCACAAAAAAAAUCCGGACAAGCAAAACAGGAACAGCAAAACGAUGGCGCUCCCGAAGUGCAUUAUCGAGCUUAUGAGACAGUCAGGCUGUCAAACGGUGUCACAGUUAAUAUCAGCUAUUAGCGCACUGUUUUUGCUGAUUGUGCUGGCCUUGGGCGAGCAACUGCUCGACUUUAUCCUUCAGCGAGGAGGCGUCAAAUGUCACGGAGAACACAAUUUCAAGAAGCUGAUACAGUAAAAUUAUCACAGAGGAAAUAAUAAUGUUUAGUAUCGAAACGCGCUCCCUCAAUGCGCGCGUAAUCUCUUGAAUGUAUUGCAAUAAUUCAGGAUAAAAGGCGUUUUUGGCUUCCCCGAAUUGAUUUGGUUUUUAGAUUGCCGCUUGGGCGACAAUGGAAUCUAGUUGUGAAAAUUGGAACGAAAGCAUGUUUACUGACAGAGGCGUUUCUUCGAAUCGAGUGCUAGGCAGUGGCGAAAUGAUGUAUUGCGAUAAGUAAAAAUAAUGGACAAACGCUAUGGGGAGGUUGCAGUGCGUUAAUUGGAAAUAAAGCAAUUUAGGAGAAUACAUAGCAUGUA